AUUCCAGCUUAUUUUUCCUGGGUUUCAUCAUCAGAGACCUUCUCCUUUUCAUCUCAUCAACAAUGUGGUAUCUUUUACCAUUCGAUAAAGAGUAAGGACAUGUCCAUUGGUCAGCAACCAGAACUUAAAAUCUGCUGGAAUAAGGUCAGAGACCAUUUCAAUUACAGCUGAGGAAAAUGAAAUUUCCAUUUUAUUCCGUGCCUUGUGCAGGGAGCACACUAACUCUUAACAGAAAGGUGUGAGUGAAAAGAGAUUGAGUUUGUCUAAUAGAAACUCACGGUUAUGGCGAGUGACCCAACGUGAUUAGAGGGGGCAAAAGCCACACAGGAACUCAUGACGGGCUAUACCAUGUUGCGGAAUGGGGGAGUGGGGAAUGGAGGUCAAACCUGUAUGUUACGGUGGUCCAACCGGAUACGACUCACAUGGCUCAGCUUUACGCUCUUCAUUAUUCUGGUGUUCUUCCCCCUGAUUGCUCACUAUUAUCUCACCACUCUGGAUGAGGCUGAUGAGGCAGGCAAGCGGAUUUUUGGCCCAAGGGCUGGUAAUGAACUAUGUGAGGUAAAGCAUGUGCUGGAUCUUUGCCGGAUUCGUGAGUCUGUAAGUGAGGAGCUCUUGCAGCUGGAAGCCAAGAGGCAGGAGCUGAACAGUGAAAUUGCCAAGCUGAAUCUGAAGAUUGAAGCCUGUAAGAAGAGUAUUGAGAAUGCCAAGCAGGACCUACUUCAGCUCAAGAAUGUUAUUAGCCAGACUGAGCACUCUUAUAAAGAGCUGAUGGCUCAAAAUCAGCCCAAACUUUCUCUGCCUAUCCGAUUGCUUCCAGAGAAGGACGAUGCUGGUCUUCCUCCCCCAAAGGUCAUACGGGGAUGCCGGCUGCACAAUUGUUUCGAUUAUUCUCGCUGUCCUCUCACCUCCGGUUUUCCAGUCUAUGUAUAUGACAGUGACCAGUUUGCCUUUGGCAGCUACCUGGAUCCCUUGGUCAAGCAGGCUUUUCAGGCUACAGCACGAGCCAACGUGUAUGUUACAGAAAAUGCGGACAUUGCCUGCCUUUAUGUGGUAUUAGUGGGAGAAGUACAAGAGCCAGUAGUGCUUCGGCCUGCCGAACUUGAGAAGCAGCUCUCUUCUUUACCACAUUGGCGGACAGAUGGACACAACCAUGUCAUCAUCAAUCUGUCGCGGAAGUCAGAUACACAGAACUUACUAUAUAACGUGAGCACAGGCCGUGCCAUGGUGGCUCAGUCUACUUUCUAUGCUUCCCAGUACAGACCUGGCUUUGACUUGGUCGUAUCGCCACUAGUGCAUGCCAUGUCGGAGCCCAACUUCAUGGAAAUCCCACCACAGGUGCCAGUUAAGCGGAAGUAUCUUUUCACCUUCCAGGGUGAGAAGAUUGAAUCACUGAGAUCCAGCCUUCAGGAGGCCCGCUCCUUUGAAGAAGAAGUGGAAGGUGACCCUCCAGCCGACUACGAUGAUCGUAUCAUUGCCACCUUAAAGGCUGUACAGGACAGCAGGCUAGAUCAGGUCCUGGUAGAAUUUACCUGCAAAAACCAGCCUAAAGCCAGUCUGCCUACCGAGUGGGCACUGUGUGGUGAGCGUGAGGACCGCUUGGAAUUACUGAAGCUUUCCACCUUCGCUCUCAUUAUCACUCCUGGGGACCCUCACUUGGUCAUUUCAUCUGGGUGUGCGACACGGCUCUUUGAAGCCCUGGAAGUCGGUGCUGUCCCAGUUCUGCUAGGGGAGCAAGUACAGCUUCCUUACCAGGGCAUGCUGCAGUGGAAUGAGGCAGCCCUGGUGGUGCCCAAGCCGCGUGUGACCGAGGUUCAUUUUCUGUUACGAAGCCUCUCGGACAGUGAUCUGCUGGCCAUGCGGCGGCAAGGCCGCUUUCUCUGGGAGACUUACUUCUCAACCGCUGACAGUAUUUUUAAUACCGUGCUGGCUAUGAUUAGGACUCGCAUACAGAUCCCAGCUGCUCCCAUCCGGGAAGAGGCGGCAGCUGAGAUCCCCCAUCGGUCAGGCAAGGCGGCUGGAACUGACCCUAACAUGGCCGACAACGGGGACCUGGACCUGGGGCCAGUGGAGACAGAGCCACCUUAUGCCUCACCCAAAUACCUCCGCAACUUUACUUUGACUGUCACUGAUUUUUACCGCAGCUGGAACUCUGCUCCGGGGCCUUUCCAUCUGUUCCCCCACACGCCCUUUGACCCUGUGUUGCCCUCAGAGGCCAAAUUCUUGGGCUCAGGGACUGGAUUUCGGCCUAUUGGGGGUGGAGCUGGGGGUUCUGGCAAGGAGUUUCAGGCUGCACUUGGAGGCAACGUUCCACGAGAGCAGUUCACAGUGGUGAUGUUGACCUAUGAGCGGGAGGAAGUGCUUAUGAACUCUCUAGAGAGACUGAAUGGCCUCCCUUACCUGAACAAGGUAGUGGUGGUAUGGAAUUCUCCCAAGCUACCCUCGGAGGACCUUCUGUGGCCCGACAUUGGCGUCCCCAUCAUGGUGGUCCGUACUGAGAAGAACAGUUUGAACAAUCGAUUCUUGCCCUGGAAUGAAAUUGAGACAGAGGCCAUCCUGUCUAUUGAUGAUGAUGCUCACCUCCGCCACGAUGAAAUCAUGUUUGGGUUUCGGGUGUGGAGAGAAGCACGGGAUCGCAUUGUGGGUUUCCCUGGCCGUUACCAUGCGUGGGACAUCCCUCAUCAGUCCUGGCUCUACAAUUCCAACUACUCCUGUGAGCUGUCCAUGGUGCUGACAGGUGCUGCCUUCUUUCACAAGUAUUAUGCCUACCUGUAUUCUUAUGUGAUGCCCCAGGCCAUCCGAGAUAUGGUGGAUGAAUACAUCAACUGUGAGGACAUUGCCAUGAACUUCCUUGUCUCCCACAUCACUCGGAAACCCCCCAUCAAGGUGACCUCUCGGUGGACCUUCCGAUGCCCAGGAUGCCCCCAGGCCCUGUCACACGAUGAUUCCCACUUUCAUGAGCGGCACAAAUGUAUCAACUUUUUUGUCAAGGUGUAUGGCUAUAUGCCCCUACUGUACACUCAAUUCAGGGUGGACUCUGUGCUCUUCAAGACCCGCCUGCCCCACGACAAGACCAAGUGCUUCAAAUUCAUCUAGGGGCAUUGCAAGUUUUGGGGAGAGGAUGAGCAGAGUGGGGGAGACGGUUCCUAAGGUUCCUAGACGUUGAAGGGCGUCAGGGCCACCCGCUGGGCGGGUGGCCCAAACCGUCUGCUGGGAGAGGCGGCGGGAAGAGUGGAAAGGAAAUAGCCUUCUUAAAGUCGGCCACACUGGGCCUGGAACCCUGGUCGGAGGACACGGGGGUUCCCUACACAGGGCACUGACUGAUAGCUUACACUGAGGAUCAUGGGGACUCCGGGGAGUCACUCACGCAGUUCAUAAGCCCAGGACAGCUGGUUUGUGGUUUUUAAAUUCAGUAACAACUAUUAUUAUUAUUUAAAAGAAAGUUUCAGAUUUGCCAUUCGAGGCUUAUUUAUAUAUAUGUGUGUAUAUAUAUGUAUAUAUAUAUGCACACACAUUCUCACAUACAUAUACAUAUACAUAUAUAUAUAGAUAGAUAGAUUUGGGGGGCAGUUUGAGAUUUCUGCCGAUUUCACAAAGUGAGGGACCCACUGAGUUUCCUGAUGUUCUGUACGUUGGUGGAGAUGGAUCCUGGCCUUACGGUAUCUGGCUCAUCCUUAAAGAUCAUCUCUGUAUUCCCCAGGGCAUCUGUGUGCAGAAACAAGAAAGGGCAGGCUUGGCCCUCCUAGGGGCCCUGGACGAGAUAAGCCCUCUUGGUUUGUUUCUUUCUCCAUCUGUUGCCAGCCGGUGAUCUGGAGCUUGCGACCUCCUGUUGCUUGAGUCCGUGGGGAGGACCUGCACCUUUGGGAACAGCGGGGCUUCCCUGUGCUGGAUUGAGUGUUUUUGAGGAUUCAUCGCUAGGUCAAGCUGUCCCAGAACUUGUCCUCGCGCACCCAUUCUCUCCCGUUUGGAAGAGAAGAAUGAGGAAGGAGUGAGACCUGAAGACAGUGCUCCCAGAGAAAGAGCACAAGAAGGGGGAGCGGCAGGAGGAGGGAGAAGGAGAAGCAGGCUCCUCAGUGAACGGGGAGCCCGACAUGGGGCUUGAUCCCAGGACCCUGGGAUCAUGACCUGAGCCGAAGGCAGACGCUUAACCGACUGAGCCACCCAGGCGCCCCCAAGGUAUGAGAUUUUUAAUCAGGCCACUCAAAGGCAAAUCCAACCCAUGGCAAGAUUAUCAUGAGAGGACACACACCCAAAAUUUGGUUGUUGAAGAUUUAACAAUGAAAAUGGCUAUCGAUGUUCUUAGGGAAUUCAAACUUCCCCUUAGUCUAAUACUUCUUUUGUUGCAUAAUAUCACUCUCAAAAAGUUACUGUUAAAAGUAGCGUAUCCUUGGAUUUUAUAGUGUUUGCUAUUUGAAAACAUUAAGUACAUUUGUCUAAGUAUUACUUCCUAUGUUUUUCACAAAAGCCCUUGGAUAUAAUUAGGGAAAAUUACUUACAUAUUGAAAAUAUAGCCCAAAUUUUGUUUCCAGGAGGAAGAUUUUGGCCCCAACGCCCUACAUUCUUCCUACAAAUGAGUGCAGUUGGUCUGUGUUUAGACUCCACUUUUAUGUAUUUGCAAAUUUCCCUAUACUCUUUUCUAAUCAGAAGGAAAACAGGCCAGGGUGCCUGGGUGGCUCUUUCAGCUAAGCGUCCGACUCCUGAUUUUGGCUCAGGUCAUGAUCUCCGGGCCAUGAGAUCAAAUUCCACAUCUGGCUCUGUGCUGGGCAUGGAGCCUGCUGAAUUAAGAUUCUCUCUCUCCCUCUCCCUCAGCCUCUGCCCCUCCCCUCUAAAAAGAAAAAAAAAAAGGAAAACAGGCAUGCAUGCUUUAAAGUAUUUAGAAAACAACUUAAAAGUUAUUUUUUUUUUAAAGAUUUUAUUUAUUUAUUUGAGAGAGAGAGAAUGAGAGAGAGAGAACACAUGAGAGGGGUUAGGGUCAGAGGGAGAAGCAGACUCUCCGCCAAGCAGGGAGCCUGAUGCAGGACUCGAUCCCGGGACUCCAGGAUCAUGACCUGAGCCGAAGGCAGUCGCUCAACCAACUGAGCCACCCAGGCGCCCACAACCUAAAAGUUCUUAAGUUGUUAAAUGUCUUCCAAAUCUGACAUAACCAAGGGCUUCUGUUAUUCAUGUUUAUUUAUAAAUGAUUCCUACGUAACACGAUUUCUACAAAGACACUGCAAACUAGGAAUCCGGGCGAGUCCGGGCUACCCCUGCCGGACUCUAGUGCCACUCUCCCUGGAACUUGGCUUUCCUCCCUUACUGCAAUUACUUACUCUCUGCUCCUCUAGGCUGCGAGUGCAUCUUCAAGGUAGAUGUUGUCUCGUACUCUUUUCCCCAGAGCACCAGAGGAACUUGUUCGUUGAAGGGUCGAACUUUAAAGUCCUUUUCUAGCUCUGAAACCGAGCAAUUCUGUCUCCACAAGUGAUAAUCAUUUAAAUAUCCCCCGAUGUAUGACGGUUUGACUUAAGAUUUUUCUUAAACGCUGUGAAAGCGUUAUACAUUCAAUAGAAGCCACUUGGAAUUCUGAAUUUUGAUCUUUUCCCAUGCUAGUCACACACAGUACCGUGCUCCCCAGACGCUGGGCAGUGGCGGUGAGCGGCAGCUCCCAGUCAGCCCUACAGCAGGAGGGUAAGCAACGACACACAGAAUUAUUCUGUCACUACAGGUGCCUUGGGUGGCUCAGGAGGUCAAGCCUCGGACUCUUGAUUUUGGCUCAGGUCAUGACCACAGAGCCCGAAUGAGAUCUGAGAUCACAGGAGACUGAGCCUCGCCUUGGGCUCUGCGCUGGGCCUGGAGCCUGCUUAAGAUUCUCUCUCUCCCUCUGCCCCUCCCUCCCCGCCGGUGUUCUCUCUCUAAAACAGAACAAAACAAACAAAAAAAACAACAAAAGAAAUUCUUCUGUACCUAUACAACCAUUCCGUUUUUCACUUCCAGUACAGUGUUCAAUAAACUACAAGAGAUAUCAAAACUUUUUACAAAAUAGGCUUUGUGGUUAGAUGAUUUUGACCAACUGUAGGCUAAGAAGUGAUCUGAGCACAUUUAACGUCAACUAGGCUAAGCUCCGGAGGUUAGGUAUAUUAAGUGCACUUUCGACUUACCAUUAUUUUCAAUUUACAGUGGUAGUUUAAUCCGGAGGUAACCCAAUCGUCAAUCAAGGAAGAUCUGAACUUAGUGAUGUACAUUUCGAUGAAAUAAACUAUGCACCUGACCUAACACAUAACGGCGCUCCAUUACAGCAAUAAUCAUUACAACUAAGGUGAACUCACCAGGGCAGCCCAACAGACUCUAGCGAGACAUACUAAUUCAGCGCAACCCACACCAAGCAUCGUGCUUUCUUUAGAAGCCAAGGCUUCAACUACAAUACCUUUUCCAAAACUCUGUCAAAACCGGGGACACAGGUUCAUCAAUUUCAUCAGCUCUAGCAGAUUCUGUGUCAAGCGGCUCAUCGUGGACCCUUGCGGCUUCUGGGCACAAUGCAAGAAGGAACUCUGGGCGAGCCGGGAGCCCCGAAGUUCGGGAAGGAGCAAGAACAAGCAGGGCAAAGAAACCUGAGUCUGUCCUCUCCACGCACUGGGC